GGUCAAGUUAUUAAGGGUGUGUGGAGGAUGUCUCGGUGCCAAGAGGCGAUGAAGGGCGUGGAAGACUGCGAUAAGCCUGGGGAAGCUGUCAAACAAGCUCUGAUCCCGGGAUUCCUGAAUGAUUGCAUGCUGAAUUCAUAGGCAUGCAAGGCAAACCCAGGGAACUGAAACAUCUAAGUACCUGGUGGAAAAGAAAGAAAUUUCGAUUUCCUGAGUAGCGGCGAGCGAAACGGAAAUAGCCCAAACCAUGAACUUCGGUUUGUGGGGUUGCGGGGCCAGACUUUCGAGAAUUGAAUGCUAGAAGAACUUGCUGGAAAGCGAGGCCACAGAGGGUGACAGCCCCGUAUUCGAAAGUAAUUCAGUUUUUUGUCUGGUACCCAAGUAGGUCCAGUCACGUGGAACCUGGACUGAAUCCGGGAGGCCCAUCUCCCAAGGCUAAAUACUCCUUGGCAACCGAUAGUUAACAAGUAGCGCGAGCGAAAGAUGAGAAGAACCCCUGUAGGGGAGGAUGGUGAACCUGAAACCACACACUUACAAGCUGUCGGAGCCCCUUACGUGGGUGACGGCGUGCCUAUUGAAUAAUGACCCAGCGAGUUACUGUCAUCGGCUCGAUUAAGGCCUUCAGGGCCGUAGUCUCAGGGAAACCGAGUCUGAAUAGGGCGUAUUUGUCGGUGGCGGUAGACGCGAACCCAGGUGAACUACCCAUGGGCAGGUUGAAGCGCGGGUAAUACUGCGUGGAGGACCGAACCCACUAAUGUUGAAAAAUUAGGGGAUGACCUGUGGGGAGGAGUAAAAGUCUAAUCAAACCUGGAGAUAGCUCGUUCUCUCCGAAAUAACUUUAGGGUUAGCGUCGGUAUUUUUCGAUGUGGGGGUAGAGAGACUGAAUUGGCAUGGGGGGCUACCCGCCUACCCAGCCUAACCAAACUCCGAAUACCAUAUCGAAUACCCGGCAGUUAGUCCGUGAGGGAGAAGCUUCACGGUCGAGAGGGAAACAACCCAGAUCGCCUGCUAAGGUCCCAAAGUUUUGCUAAGUCACAAAGGACAUUAGGAUACUGUGACAGNCGGGAUGUUGGCUUAGAAGCAGCCACCAUUUAAAAAGUGCGUAAUAGCUUACCGGUCGAGUGUUCUAGUGCCGACAAUGAUCGGGAGUUAAGCAAAACGCCGAAGCAGCGGAUUCGCGUAAGCGAGUGGUAGGAGAGCGUUCCAACACAGUUCAAGCUGUACCGAGAGGAGCAGUAGCGGGUGUUGGAAGUGUUUAUGCUGGGAUGAGUAACGAUAAAACAGGUGAGAAUCCUGUUCGCCGAAAGCCUAAGGUUUCCUGGGGAAGGUAAUUCCGCCCAGGGUUAGUCGGCCCCUUAGUUCAGGCCGAAAGGCGUAGACGAUGGAGAGCAGGUUAAUAUUCCUGCACCGAUGUGUGGGCGAUGUGGGGACGUUGUGUGAAUGGGCGUCGGGCGGCUAGAAGUGCCCGUGGGGCAACCCCGAGUCCUUGUUGACGAAGCGAACUGAAGCACAAUCAAGAAAAGCCACUAAGAUCAAAGCACACGACCGUACUAAAACUGACACAGGUAGGCGAGGCGAGUAGCCUCAGGCGCUCGGGAGAAUGCUGGUUAAGGAACUCUGCAAAUUGACCCCGUAAGUUCGCGAGAAGGGGUGCCCAUUUCGGUGGGCCACAGAUAAUCGGCUCUAGCGACUGUUUACUAAAAACACAGGACUCUGCUAACUCGUAAGAGGACGUAUAGAGUCUGACGCUUGCUCGGUGUCGGUAGGUUAAGGAAGAGGGUCAAGGUUUUGCCUGAAGCCCGCAACCGAAGCCCCGAUAAACGGCGGCCGUAACUAUGACGGUCCUAAGGUAGCGAAAUUCCUUGUCGGGUAAGUUCCGACCUGCAUGAAUAGCGUAACGACUGGAGCACUGUCUCAACCAGCAACCCGGUGAAAUUGCAGUUGUGGUGAGGAUACCACGUACCCGCAGCUAGACGGAAAGACCCCAUGAACCUUUACUGUAGGCUGAUAUUGGCUUUAGACAGUUCUUGUGUAGGAUAGGUGGGAGGCGAUGAGGCCGGCACGCUAGUGUCGGUGGAGCCAACGUUGAAAUACCACCCUGGGCCUGUUUGGAGUCUAACACUGAUCCAUGAAUCUGGAUGGUGAACAGUGUCAGUUGGGCAGUUUGACUGGGGCGGUCUCCUCCCAAAGAGUAACGGAGGAGUUCAAAGGUACACUCAGCCUGGUUGGCAAUCAGGCGAAGAGCGCAAGGGUAGAAGUGUGCUUGACUGCGAGACCUAUAAGUCGAGCAGAGACGAAAGUCGGACCUAGUGAUCCGGCGGUUCCGAAUGGAAGGGCCGUCGCUCAACAGAUAAAAGGUACUCUGGGGAUAACAGGCUGAUCACGCCCGAGCGUCCAUAGCGGCGGCGUGGUUUGGCACCUCGAUGUCGGCUCAUCACAUCCUGGGGGUGGAGAAGCUCCCAAGGGUUCGGCUGUUCGCCGAUUAAAGUGGUACGUGAGCUGGGUUUAAACCGUCGUGAGACAGGUUGGUCCCUAUCUGCUGUGGGCGUACGAAACUUGAGGGGUUUUCUCUUUAGUACGAGAGGAUUUGGAGGGACGAACCUCUGGUGUUUCUGCUGUCACGCUAGUGGCACUGCAGGGUAGCUAAGUUCGGUCGGGAUAAGCGCUGAAAGCAUAUAAGCGCGAAGCCUCUCCCAAGAUUAGGUUUCGAUGGAGAAAUCCUGAAGUCCCCUGGAAGACGACCAGGUUGAUAGGUCGGAGAUGUAAGGCGAGUAAUCGUCUCAGUUGACCGAUACUAAUGGACGACAACUUGACCACUUU
rnacentral:rRNA from 1 species